UACGUAGGGUGCAAGCGUUGUCCGGAAUUAUUGGGCGUAAAGAGCUCGUAGGCGGUCUGUCACGUCGGCUGUGAAAACCCGAGGCUCAACCUCGGGCCUGCAGUCGAUACGGGCAAACUAGAGUACUGCAGGGGGAGAACGGAAUUCCUGGUGUAGCGGUGAAAUGCGCAGAUAUCAGGAGGAACACCGGUGGCGAAGGCGGUUCUCUGGGCAUUACCUGACGCUGAGGAGCGAAAGUGUGGGGAGCGAACAGG
rnacentral:rRNA from 1 species